UGAGGCCCGGGUAAGACCGGGUGAAGGGCCGAACCCACCAGCGUUGAAAAGCUGGGGGAUGACCUGUGGUUAGGGGUGAAAGGCCAAUCAAACUUCGUGAUAGCUGGUUCUCCCCGAAAUGCAUUUAGGUGCAGCGUUGCGUGUUUCUUGCCGGAGGUAGAGCACUGGAUGGUCUAGGGGGCCUACAAGCUUACCGAAAUCAGCCAAACUCCGAAUGCCGGUAAGUGAGAGCGUGGCAGUGAGACUGCGGGGGAUAAGCUUCGUAGUCGAGAGGGAAACAGCCCAGAUCACCGGCUAAGGCCCCUAAGCGUGUGCUAAGUGGAAAAGGAUGUGGAGUCGCACAGACAACCAGGAGGUUGGCUUAGAAGCAGCCAUCCUUGAAAGAGUGCGUAAUAGCUCACUGGUCAAGUGAUUCCGCGCCGACAAUGUAGCGGGGCUCAAGUCAUCCGCCGAAGCUAUGGCAUUCACGCGUAAGCCAAGCCCUUGUGGUUCAGGUGCGUGGAUGGGUAGGGGAGCGUCGUGUGGCGAGUGAAGCGGCGGGGGGACCCAGUCGUGGACGCCACACGAGUGAGAAUGCAGGCAUGAGUAGCGAAAGAAGGGUGAGAAACCCUUCCGCCGGAUGACCAAGGGUUCCAGGGCCAGGCUAAUCCGCCCUGGGUAAGUCGGGACCUAAGGCGAGGCCGACAGGCGUAGUCGAUGGACAACGGGUUGAUAUUCCCGUACCCGCGAAAGAGCGUCCCUGAUGAACCUCGUUGUGCUAACCACCCAAACCAGCUGAUGUCUUCGGACGGAUGGUGGGGAGGCUGGGAACCUGAUGGGUAGUAGUCAAGCGAUGGGGUGACGCAGGAAGGCAGUCCAGCCACGGCGAUGGUAGACCGUGGGUAAGGGUGUAGGGCGACAGACAGGCAAAUCCGUCUGUCACAUGCCUGAGACCUGAUACCGAGCCGAUCUAGGCGAAGUGGAUGAUCCUAUGCUGCCGAGAAAAGCCUCUAGUGAGUGCAUGCACGGCCCGUACCCCAAACCAACACAGGUGGUCAGGUAGAGAAUACCAAGGCGAUCGAGCGAACCGUGGUUAAGGAACUCGGCAAAAUGCCCCCGUAACUUCGGGAGAAGGGGGGCCAGGUCGUGUGAAGUCCCUUGCGGACUAGCGCGGUCCGGCCGCAGAGACCAGGGAGAAGCGACUGUUUACUAAAAACACAGGUCCGUGCGAAGUCGCAAGACGAUGUAUACGGACUGACGCCUGCCCGGUGCUGGAACGUUAAGGGGACCGGUUAGGCCUUCGGGCCGAAGCUGAGAACUUAAGCGCCAGUAAACGGCGGUGGUAACUAUAACCAUCCUAAGGUAGCGAAAUUCCUUGUCGGGUAAGUUCCGACCUGCACGAAUGGCGUAACGACUUGGGCGCUGUCUCAACCACGGACUCGGCGAAAUUGCACUACGAGUAAAGAUGCUCGUUACGCGCAGCAGGACGGAAAGACCCCGGGACCUUUACUAUAGCUUGGUAUUGGUGUUCGGUUCGGCUUGUGUAGAAUAGGUGGGAGACUGUGAAGCCGGCACGCCAGUGCCGGUGGAGUCAUCGUUGAAAUACCACUCUGGUCGUACUGGAUAUCUAA
rnacentral:rRNA from 1 species